rnacentral:rRNA from 1 species
UACAGAGGUCCCGAGCGUUGUUCGGAUUCACUGGGCGUAAAGGGUGCGUAGGCGGCCGUGCAAGUCUGGCGUGAAAGCCCCGGGCUCAGCCCGGGAAGUGCGCUCGAAACUGCGCGGCUCGAGUGCCGGAGGGGAGAGUGGAAUUCCUGGUGUAGCGGUGAAAUGCGUAGAUAUCAGGAGGAAUACCGGUGGCGAAAGCGACUCUCUGGACCUCAACUGACGCUGAGGCACGAAAUCUUGGGUAUCAAACAUC